rnacentral:snRNA from 1 species
GGAUCUGAGGACGACCUGGCUGCGACACCUGUCACCCCACGGAUCACCAGGGUUGAUUCGGCUGAUCUGGCUGGCUAGGCAGGGGUCCCUUCCUCCCUCACCGCUCCAUGGGCAUCCCUCCCAAAGCUGUGGGCUCCAUCAAAGAGGAAGACCUUUCCCAAACAGAAGAGCAUUGGUCUUCAGGCAAGGGUGUGUGAGAAGCUGUGUUCCUCUGCCUUAAAUAAAAACAGGCUUGUGGAGGUGGAAGUCAGGGAUGGAUCCAAGAAUCCUGACCCACUCCAGCAUAAUUUUCUCUAAUCCAUCAAAUUAAUCAUGGUAAAACUGAAACACAUGCAGAGAAAAAAUAUUCU